GACGAACGCUGGCGGCGUGCCUAAUACAUGCAAGUCGAGCGGACAGAAGGGAGCUUGCUCCCGGAAGUUAGCGGCGGACGGGUGAGUAACACGUGGGCAACCUACCCUGUAGAUCGGGAUAACAUCGAGAAAUCGGUGCUAAUACCGGAUAAUCAUUUGAAGUACAUGCUUCGAAUGUAAAAGAUGGCUCCGGCUAUCACUACGGGAUGGGCCCGCGGCGCAUUAGCUAGUUGGUAAGGUAAUGGCUUACCAAGGCAACGAUGCGUAGCCGACCUGGGAGGGUGUUCGGCCACACUGGGACUGAGACACGGCCCAGACUCCUACGGGAGGCAGCAGUAGGGAAUCUUCCGCAAUGGACGAAAGUCUGACGGAGCAACGCCGCGUGAGUGAUGAAGGUUUUCGGAUCGUAAAGCUCUGUUGUUAGGGAAGAACAAGUGCCGUUUGAAUAAGGCGGCACCUUGACGGUACCUAACCAGAAAGCCACGGCUAACUACGUGCCAGCCGCCGCCGUAAGAC
rnacentral:rRNA from 1 species